UGUGCAUGUUGGAGACUGAGUUCUGCCCUUUGGAAGAACUCAGGUUCGGCAGCCGAAGGGACUUUCGGCCGCCGAACCUGCCUGUGGAGGCCAGCCUUUGGCUGCCGAACCCUGCCCCCGAAAGUAGACUUUCGGCUCUGAAAGGGAGUUUCGGCCGCCGAAGGUGCCGCCGAACAUGCAUGAGUUUCGUCUCUGGAAGGAACC
rnacentral:lncRNA from 1 species